UUGUACGACCGGUCGACAGGACGGACGGAAACUCACUCCAUUUUCUUGGACGACCUUGACUGGUUAUUAGUUGUGAUCACCUGCAGUGAAUAUCACGUAAUAUCAUUUCCAAUAAAAUACAAUGGCGGCCGUAGCGAAACCACAGAUUUUCAAGUCGGUCCUCAAUGGAGCCAAGCAGUUUUCUACCUCAUCCAAGAGUCACACAAAGGUAGCUGUUAUGGGAGCUAGUGGUGGCAUUGGUCAACCUCUAUCAUUAUUGCUGAAGCAAUCACCUUUAGUUUCUCAGCUCAACUUGUAUGAUAUCGUCCACACUCCUGGUGUGGCAGCUGAUUUGAGCCACAUCAAUUCCAAAGCCAAAGUUCAAGGCUUUGUUGGACCUGAUCAAUUGAAGAGCUCUCUAGAAGGUUGUGAAGUUGUCAUUAUCCCAGCUGGUGUUCCUCGUAAACCAGGCAUGACCCGAGAUGAUCUUUUCAACAUCAAUGCUUCAAUCGUCCGUGAUUUGGCAGUUGCUGUUGCUGAAGUUUGUCCUAAAGCACUGAUUGGAAUAAUCGCCAACCCAGUUAACAGCACCGUUCCGAUUGCCAGUGAAGUAUUCCAGAAAGCUGGCGUCUACGACCAGAACAGAAUUUUUGGUGUCACUACACUAGAUGUUGUCCGGGCUAAUGCUUUUAUUGCUGAACUGAAGGGUUUGGAUCCAACCACAGUGAACUGCCCAGUCAUUGGUGGCCAUGCAGGCAUCACAAUUAUUCCCCUGAUUUCCCAGUGCCAGCCUGCCGUUUCAUUCCCAACUGACCAGCUUAAAGCGCUCACUGAACGUAUUCAGGAAGCUGGAACUGAAGUUGUAAAGGCCAAGGCUGGUGCAGGAUCUGCCACGUUAUCUAUGGCUUUUGCUGGUGCUCGGUUUGCCAUUUCUUUGAUCCGAGCUCUCAGAGGUGAAAAGGGGAUUGUUGAAUGUGCAUACGUUCGGUCUGACUUGACUGAAUCAAAAUAUUUUUCGACCCCUAUUCUUUUGGGUCCCAAUGGUAUCGAAAAGAAUCUUGGACUUGGUAACUUGUCCGAAUUCGAAAAGCAGCUAGUUGCUGCUUCAAUCCCUGAACUGAAGAAAAACAUUAAGAAGGGAGAGGAGUUCGUCCUUAAACACUAAAGGAAAGGUUGCGAGAAUCAAGCGUGGAGCAACUAACUACAAAAAGCAAACUAGCUAUCGGAUAUAUAUUGUAUGAUCUGCCGGAAAAAGUCUACGAAAAUUCGUUCAAACAUGAAGUUUGAAUUUCAUCUCACAUGAUCUUGCCAUAACCUAUCCAUGAGAACGAUGAUGUUGAUCAACAGCAUAAACGCGAAUGUAGUCAAUGCGCAUGGCGUUGUCCUCUGUUUCUGGGUUCCAGGUGGGCAACCAGUCCAUUCUUUUCUCCCAGAAUGGACGCAUCUGAACUGGAUCCGAUAUUUUCCAUGGUUUUUCAAGUGGUUGGUCGAAAGGCUGGUUGAUGCACCAAUCUGGAAACAUGUCGCCACCAACCGCAACAUCCAGGAUAAAAUGAAACUGGAAAUACCGCCAAUCCAUAUUAUCGAUGUGAAACAAUUGUAAACAAUUUAAACAAAGCCAAGUAAUAUUACAGGGUGAUCAAAAGGGGCGAUUCGGGUACCGUUACCCGUAAUGUUCCAAAUGUUUUGCCCUUCAAAGCCGCCCAUUUUCCAGAAGCCACCCUCCGGAGGACUUACGUGUCCAAUUAGGUCAUCGUCUACAUAGAAAUUGAAUCCUAUCGGUAGCCAUUCCAUUGCGAAGAUAUGGAAAUCUGAUGAGAAAUCUGGAUUCCUUUGAACUCUGAAACGAUUCCCAUCUCAGUAAGUUAUAAUUAUACUUAAGAUUAUUCUAACUCGUCUUACUUUUGCCAAUAUGUUAACCUGUGACCGUUAUGAUGAGAAUCGGGUCCCCAAUGUAAGCUGGUACCACUUAAUUGCCUUCCGUAAGACUUACUACCACACGAGAGAUUAACGUUACUUCUGACUUCUGUUAUGUCGAUUUCUCCCGAUCGGGGAUUACUUCCGUAGACGGAAUCGCCGAGAUUACACAAUGCAUCCCCCUCCCCAGUUGACGUUGCAUCCUUCAAGAGUUAAAUCGAUCGUCCCAUUGUAAAGAAACUCGGGGCCGUAGCGGUCGGCUGUGAAUGUCGGUUUGAUAAACAAAUUACCGUCGCGAACGUAGCUGUUCUCAAUUCCACGAAAAGUUUGUAAUAGCAAUUGCAAAUAAUUUAUAAUUUCACUGGACACCGUACAAAGAAAUGAAUGAAAUACGAACAUAUUUUGGCUUCGGUUGA